UACGUAGGGGGCAAGCGUUGUCCGGAUUUAUUGGGCGUAAAGAGCGUGUAGGCGGUUUGGUAGGUCCGCUGUGAAAACUCGAGGCUCAACCUCGAGACGCCGGUGGAAACCAUCAGGCUAGAGUCCGGAAGAGGAGAGUGGAAUUCCUGGUGUAGCGGUGAAAUGCGCAGAUAUCAGGAAGAACACCCGUGACUAAGGCGGCUCUCUAGUAUGGUACUGACGCUGAGACGCGAAAGCGUGGGGAGCGAACAGG
rnacentral:rRNA from 1 species